CUUCACUGCUCUUUUUGGUGUUUCAGCCAAUAUGGGUGGUAGAAUUCCCUUGUAAAAACCAAACAACCUAUGUAAAUGUGUUCCGAUUACCUUGC